GUGCAAGAGAACCGGCUCAUUGUAAGAAAGCCCAAGAGUAAGCUAUGUGAGGUUGAUGGCGAUGCUUAAAAAGCAAUCGACUUACAAGGGUGUGGAAAAAUGGACUCGAUAUUAAAUCGAGAAAAAUAUGAUUUUUAUAGUUUAAAAAUGGUUUUGAAUGAAUGAUGAAAUUAAAAGACAACAAAUCUAUGUUAUGAUAAUGAAACUAUGAAAAUAAUAAAGCAUAAACAUAACAAAAAAAUGUUAAAAGAAAUAAAAUACUAAAAGAAAAAUAAAAUGCUAAAAAAGGCUACACAUAAGUAUUGAACCCACCCCACUCAAGACUAUGAUACUACCCUUCUCCACCAGACCACUCAUGGUUAUUUAUUAUUUUGAUGCUACUUUAAAUAUAUAAACCAAAAUAGAUUAAACAUUAGAAUAAAAACUAAAAUAAAAAAAGAGUCUGUUGGACUAUCCUAAUAAAUGAUGGGGAACCAAAAAUUAAAACCCAGCCGCCUGGCUGUUGGGUUCUUCAACAGAAUGUGCAUUGAAAAUGUGUAAUAUUUACUAACUAAAAUUUAGGAAGUUUAAACAAAUUUUUAAUAUUUUCAAAAAAAACCUAUCCUAUUUAAAAUGAGUUAAAGAAAAGAAAAAUAUAAAUUGGAAAAGAUACAGAUUCGUUCUCUCCCAAUCUCACGCUCUCAGCAAUCGCCUUCAACCUCUCGUCUCUCUCACACUACGUAGCCGCUUCCGUCUCAAUCUCCCUUUCGCUCUCAAUCUCAACGAAACCUCUCUCACACCCAACCUCAAGUUCCUCUCACCAAAAACCUCUCUCUCACAUACGAAAAAUCAAUGGCUGAAGCAAAAACAGGGAGCUCACCUUCGGACCUUCGACGGCGACGACAACUCAGGUAAUGAAUCUCCCUCCUUCACUCCUUUCAAUCGGUUGUUUUU
rnacentral:lncRNA from 1 species